rnacentral:misc_RNA from 1 species
AACGCACAUUGCGCCCCUCGGUACUCCGGGGGGCAUGCCUGUCCGAGCGUCAUUGAAGACUAUCAAGCCUGGCUUGGUCUUGGGCGAGGUCUAGGGACCCGUCCACAACCCGUCGGCGGUGUCGGUUCGGCCCUGAGCGUAGCAGAAUACUCGCUCGAGGAUCGUAGCGGCGCUCACCAGCACAUUCUACCCAUAGUUUGACCUCGGAUCAGGUAGGGAUACCCGCUGAACUUAA